rnacentral:lncRNA from 1 species
AGGAGACGGGCAAAGAAGAGCAGAGGAAAGCAGAGAAGGGCCCAGUUUAAGAGGCUGCUAAAUGUUAUGCUGAAGAACUUAGACUUUUAUCUCCGUAGAUGACACUGGACAUCAGUGAUCCCAGUACUUGGUGGAAGGCUGAGGCAAGUGUGUCUGUUUAAGGCCAUCCUGGACUACAUAAAGGACCCUGUCUUAAAUAACAACAAAUAACAACAACUACAAAAACAUACUGGCAGGGAAGUACAUGGAGAAUAGGAAUGAGAAAAUGGGGAUCUCUUUAACCAGAUUUCCAGUGGCUAGCCAUGGAAUGGAUGGUGGAAAUGGAGAGGAUUGUGAUAACUCGGCAACUUUCAUGAAGUCAGACUAUGGAAGAAGAAGCUAGAGGAAAUGAACUGUUUUGGUCUCAGGCUUGAAUGCCAUUUUCAUCCUAUUUUCUUCAUGAAGAACUCUUGAUUCAAUAACAAGAUUUGCAUGGUGUUUUUUAAAGUGUGGA